rnacentral:tRNA from 1 species
GCCUCUGUGGUCUAGUUGGUCAUGACGCCGGUCUCAUAUCCAUCUUAUGACGAGUGGUUCCAACUGCUUGAAAUCCGGAGGUCGCCAGUUCGAUCCUGGCCGGGGGCA